UGAGUAUUUAACAAAAGGCUGACUGUUUAGCAUGUUUAAGACAAUACAAUAAUAAGCAAAAUGCUAUGAAUAUCAUACCACUUGCGAUGUUAUUAAUACUGUGCUCAUACAUUGUCAUAUUUGCAUAUUAAAUAAAAUAAACACUUUUCAUGUUAAAUUAACUUGUCUUCUGUUUCAGCUGCUGUGUACAAUUAUUCGACCCCCUACAUAACAGUUCAGUGCAUAAAUAAUUCCAUCCACAAGACAUCUUCCUUCAAUUGGUUGAAUAAAUUUUGGCAACUUGUUCUUCAAACAUCUUCUCUGUAUAUUUGAUAUGAUGGAGCCAUGUACAUGAAUGGAUAAGACAGUUGUUUAUUUCGACAACAAACAUGACAAAGAUACUAUUUUUUUCUUAAUUUCUCCAUGAUCCAUCAGGGAAUAUGUAGGUUGUUACAUUUUACACAAUUGUGUUCUUGUGCAUCUUUGGUAGUACUCCAAUUUGUUAAUAGCAAUUUUGUAGAAUUUUUUCUAUUUCUUUUUCCAGAAAAACACACAGUUCAUUUCACAUUAUUUAAUACAAUUAGCACAUUAUGUAGAAAAGUAUUAACAAUUAAGUUUCCUCUUCAGUAUAGACCCUGCAGGACCUGUUGAUGAUCAUAAAAACC
rnacentral:lncRNA from 1 species